GCGAUCGUAGCUCAGUUGGUUAGAGCACUGGAUUGUGGAUCCAGAUGUCGCGGGUUCGAGCCCCGUCGAUCGCCCCA
rnacentral:tRNA from 1 species